GAUGAAGAACGUAGCGAAAUGCGAUAAGUAAUGUGAAUUGCAGAAUUCAGUGAAUCAUCGAAUCUUUGAACGCACCUUGCACCCUUUGGUAUUCCGAAGGGUAUGCUCGUUUGAGUGUCAUUGUACUCUCACACUUCUAAUUCCUUUCGGGAUUGGGAGCGGUGGACUUGGGUGUUGCUGCUUUAGUUGUGGCUCACCUCAAAUAAGUUAGUGCAACUCUUGGUUGGACAUAGUACGGCGAGAUAAGUGUCUUCGCCGGCGCCUCUGUAAGGAGGGUGGCCGAUCGGGAGCUCUGUGCUUCAAACCGUCUUCGGACAAUCUUUGACAACUUGACCUCAAAUCGAGUAGGACUACCCGCUGAACUUAAGCAUAUCAAUAAGCGGAGGA
rnacentral:misc_RNA from 1 species